AACGCACCUUGCGCUCCUCGGUAUUCCGAGGAGCAUGCCUGUCUGAGCGUCACCGUACUCUCGGAUCCUCCCUCGUGAGGAAGCCGGAACUUUGGGGGCUUGCGGGCGUCCCUCGCGGACGUCGGCUCUCCUGAAACACAUUAGCGUGUGGAGCCUGGCGUGACCUCGAUCCUCCUCGGCGUCGUAAGGAUCGUCGUGAGGUCUCGAGGGGAGUGCUCAUGGUCUCAUGCUCCUAGCAUCGUCGACGAGGCGCGUGUAUAAUGGGCCUCGUCGCGUCCCGAAGGGUUUUCUGGCCUCAGAUCAGGCAGGGCUACCCGCUGAACUUAA
rnacentral:misc_RNA from 1 species